rnacentral:rRNA from 1 species
AUGGCGGGUCGCUUCCUCUUGGCCGUCCUCCUGGCGUCGUCCUCUUGGGUCGCUGCGUCCGCCGGCGCCGCGGACGAGGUCAUGGUCCCCCGCCCGGCGGCGGCGCUCACCUUCGGGGAGGGCUACACCCAGCUGUUCGGGGACUCCAACCUCAGGCUCCACGGCGACGGCAAGCGAGUCCACAUCUCCCUCGACGAGAGGACAGGUUCCGGGUUCGCGUCGCAGGGCGCGUACCUCCACGGCUUCUUCAGCGCCAGCAUCAAACUGCCGUCCGACUACGCCGCCGGCGUCGUCGUCGCCUUCUACAUGUCCAACGGCGACGUGUACGAGAAGACGCACGACGAGCUGGACUUCGAGUUCCUGGGGAACGUCAAGGGGAAGGAGUGGAGGGUGCAGACCAACGUGUACGGCGACGGCAGCACGGCGGUCGGCCGGGAGGAGCGGUACGGCCUCUGGUUCGACCCCACGCAAGACUUCCACCGCUACGCCAUCCUCUGGACCAAUCGCACCAUCGUGUUCUACGUGGACGGGACGCCGAUCAGGGAGGUGGUGAGGAGCGAGGCGAUGGGGGCGCAGUUCCCGUCCAAGCCCAUGUCGCUCUACGCCACCAUCUGGGACGGCUCCAGCUGGGCCACCUCCGGCGGCCGCUACAAGGUGGACUACAAGUACGCGCCCUACGUCGCCGAGUUCACCGACCUCGAGCUCCGCGGCUGCGACCAGCCGGCGGCGUGCGAGCCGGAGGGCGGCAGCGCGAUGCCGUCCAGGCAGCGGGCGGCGAUGGAGAGGGUCCGGGCGCGGCACAUGACGUACGGGUACUGCUACGACCGCGCGCGGUACCCGGCGCCGCUGCCGGAGUGCAGGGUGGGCGCGGAGGCGGCCAUGUACCUCCCGUCGGGCGAGGCCAGGUCGUCGGACCGGCGCAGGCACGGCAAGCGCCACCGUCGUGCCGGCGCCGCGGACUCCUCCCUCUGA